rnacentral:rRNA from 1 species
UACGUAGGUGGCGAGCGUUAUCCGGAAUGAUUGGGCGUAAAGGGUGCGUAGGCGGCCUGCUAAGUCUGGAGUGAAAGGUACCGGCUCAACCGGUACAGGCUCUGGAAACUGGCGGGCUAGAGAGCAGGAGAGGGCGGUGGAACUCCAUGUGUAGCGGUAAAAUGCGUAGAUAUAUGGAAGAACACCAGUGGCGAAGGCGGCCGCCUGGCCUGUUGACUGACGCUGAGGCACGAAAGCGUGGGUAGCAAAUAGG